CCCCGAGUGUGACUGGUUUCCGGUUGGCGGUGGGCACCGGCUACACGGCGACGUGUAACGGACGGUGGGCCGCAACCAUGGCAGAAAGGAAACCUAACGGUGGCGGUGGUGGCUCCUCCACCUCCUCGUCGGGCACCAACUUACUCUUCUCCUCCUCAGCUACGGAGUUCAGCUUCAACGUGCCCUUCAUCCCAGUCACCCAAGCUGCAGCUUCCCCGGCUUCCCUGCUCUUGCCAGGAGAGGAUUCCACGGAUGUCGGUGAGGAGGACAGCUUCCUUGGUCAGACUUCUGCUCAUACGUCUACCCCACAGACAUUUAGUUACUUCUCUCAGGUAUCAAGCAGCGGUGACCCUUUUGGAAAUAUUGGGCAGCCACCAUUAACAACUGCAGCAGCACCGGUUGGACAGUCACCGUUCUCUAAACCCACAACUGCUCUCCCUUUUACAACUGGAUCCCAAGAUGUGUCGAAUGUAUUUUCACCGUCCGUUUCGAAGGCUCAGUAUGGUGCUCCACCUGCGCCGCAGAUGGGAGUAAAUGCUUACCCGCCUUCUCAGCAGAGUGGUCUCCCUCCUUCACAUUUUGGGAGCCCACCCCCAGGAGCACCCCAGCAAGGAUACAAUCCAUAUCGCCAUACUCCUGUCAGCAGCAGGGCUAAUCCUUAUCUUACACCACCACAGCUGCAGCAGUGCCAGACACCUGGCCAUCCCACCCCCCCGCCACCCGCUGGACCCCCUGUUCAGACGUACCAGAUUCCUCCUGGAUCUUUGCCACCGAGUCCUCCUUCGGUGCAAUCAGCCUUGCCCCCACCAUCGCAGCAGCAGCUACUGGCUAGACCUGCAGGCCCCUCGGUCCAAGCACCACCUCCUUUUCUACUUCAAAACCAGUAUGAACCUGUUCAACCCCACUGGUUUUACUGCAAGGAAGUAGAAUACAAACAAUUGUGGAUGCCUUUCAGCGUGUAUGACUCUUUGAAUCUUGAGGAAAUCUAUAAUUCAGUCCAGCCAGACCCCGAGAGUGUGGUUCUAGGGACAGAUGGAGGGCGUUACGAUGUUUACCUCUAUGAUCGGGUGAGGAAGCCCGUAUACUGGGAAGAGGAGCCGGCCGAAGUGAGGCGCUGCACUUGGUUCUACAAGGGGGACACGGAUAGCAGAUUUAUUCCCUACACCGAGGAGUUUAGUGAGAAACUAGAGGCUGAAUAUAAGAAAGCUGUAACCACGAAUCAGUGGCACCGCAGAUUGGAAUUUCCCAGUGGAGAGACCAUUGUCAUGCACAAUCCAAAGGUUAUUGUCCAGUUCCAGCCUUCCUCAGUGCCGGAUGAAUGGGGGACCACACAAGAUGGACAGACAAGGCCCAGGGUUGUCAAACGUGGGGUUGACGAUAGCCUUGACGAAAUUCCUGACGGGGAAAUGCCUCAGGUUGACCACUUAGUGUUCAUGGUGCAUGGCAUUGGACCCGUGUGUGACCUGCGCUUCAGAAGCAUUAUUGAGUGUGUGGAUGAUUUCAGGGUGGUUUCUCUCAAAUUGCUGCAGACACAUUUUAAGAAAUCUUUUGAUGAUCAGAAAGUAAGCAGAGUGGAGUUCCUCCCAGUUCAUUGGCAUAGUUCCUUGGGCGGGGAUGCCACAGGUGUUGACAGGAAUAUUAAGAAAAUCACUUUACCAAGUAUUGGUCGGUUUCGUCACUUUACCAAUGAAACCUUGCUAGAUAUUUUGUUUUACAAUAGCCCCACCUACUGUCAGAGGAUCGUGGAAAAAGUGGGAAUGGAGAUAAACCGUCUGUACGCACUCUUCAGGAGCCGGAACCCAGACUUCACAGGCGGCGUCUCCGUGGCUGGGCAUAGCUUAGGCUCUUUAAUACUGUUUGACAUACUGUCUAAUCAAAAAGACUUGAGUUUGUCAAAGUCUUCUGCGCCUCUUGCUGUUGCUAAUGGAGUUGUGAAGCAGUCACAUUUUCUGGAAAAGCAGAUGACCGAAGAGCCAAAGCUGACUUUGGAUGAGUCUUGUGACCUUGAUGUUGAAAAUGAAGAAGUCCUAAGUUUGCAAGAAACACUGGAGGCACUUAGCCUCUCUGAAUACGUUAGCACUUUUGAAAAGGAAAAGAUUGACAUGGAGUCUCUGCUUAUGUGUACAAUUGAUGACCUGAAGGAGAUGGAGAUACCCCUUGGACCCAGAAAGAAGAUAGCUAACUUUGUAAAACAUAAAGCAGCCAUACUGGAACAGAAAAAAACAACUUCAGAAAAGAAAGCAGCGAUGGCCACCUCGACAAAAGGGCAAGAGGAAAGUGCUCAGAAAGCUAAAGAAAUGGCUUCUCUCCCCUCAGAAUCUAACGAGUCAAAGAGGAAACUUCCAGUUGGUGCUUACGUUUCUUCUGUGCACGUUGAUUACGAGUCUUUUGGAGUUGGCACUGGACAGGUUUCUGUUGUUUACAACUCAUUAGACUUUGCCCCAGAGAUUUUCUUUGCCUUGGGAUCGCCAAUUGGUAUGUUUCUCACUAUUCGAGGAGUGGAUAGGAUAGAUGAGAACUACAGGCUUCCUACCUGCAAAGGAUUCUUCAAUAUUUAUCAUCCACUUGAUCCAGUGGCAUAUAGAUUAGAACCCAUGAUUAUCCCAGAUUUGGACUUAAAAGCAGUUCUCAUUCCACAUCACAAAGGCAGAAAAAGACUUCAUUUAGAGUUGAAAGAAAGCCUCUCUCGUAUGGGAUCUGAUUUGAAGCAGGGUUUUAUUAGCUCUCUGAAAAGUGCUUGGCAGACGUUAAAUGAGUUUGCCCGUGCUCAUACCUCUUCAACUCAGUUGCAAGAAGAAUUGGAGAAGGUAGCCAAUCAGAUUAAAGAAGAAGAAGAAAAGCAAGUAGUUGAAGCAGAAAAGAUUGUUGAAAGUCCAGAUUUUUCCAAGGAUGAGGACUACUUAGGAAAGGUUGGAAUGUUAAAUGGAGGCCGCCGAAUUGACUACGUUCUUCAGGAAAAGCCAAUAGAGAGUUUUAAUGAGUAUCUUUUUGCUCUUCAAAGUCACUUAUGCUAUUGGGAAUCUGAAGACACUGCCCUGUUAUUACUUAAAGAAAUUUAUCGAACAAUGAACAUUAGUCCAGAACAGCCCCAGCAUUGAGUGGACCUCAGUUUCACUGUUUUGUCUUCACAGAAAGCCCCAGUAUAAAUUACAUUGCUGAGAAAAUCCCCAGAGGACGUGCCCAGUUUGCUUCUGUGAUGGAUGAUGGAAAAGUGCUUCAUUGACAGCUUCUCAGUAUAGAUUCUCAGGCGUAGGGCUUCAUUUGGAAGAAAAUAACACAGAACAAAGACAGCGAAAAACAUCAGUACCACAUUUGAACAGUGUAGAUGAGAAAAUGUAAUUAUAAACAUGAUGCAAUUAAAAAUUUCUCAGAUCGUUUUAGUUGUACAGUUGUCAAAGUCAUGUGGAUUAAUGAAGAAAUGUGUGUAGCAUGCAGACGGUUAUUUCUAUUGAACACUUGUCAGUGGGCCAUUCAACAUGCAUUUUUUUAAUUAAUGCAAUCUGCUCUUUUUAUUCCAGUAGAGACUAUAGUAAUAAUGAUUUUUUAAAAACAAACAACUGGUGUCCUACCUUAAAUGUGAAUUGUAGUGCUGAGCUGUUUUCAUGAGGAUCAUUUGUCUUUGUUAAGAAGAAGUAACCAAGAUCUCUUACAUCCCACGCUGCGUCAGAGGUUUUCAUAACGUCUUUUAGGCUGUCGCUGAGAGCAUAGUUGUGGAAGGACGUGAAGUGCUCUCUUACCCCACAGCAAUCCCAGGAAGGGCUCUGCAGCGCGUCUCUCUCCACUGGGAGAGCAUCCUCCAAGUAGCUAUGCAGCCGCCGCAUUGUCCUAGUUCUUCUGAGUGGUGGGCAGAGGAGAAGGAACACUUGAACCAGUUUCCAUAGAAGAAACGUGUACCGGCUGAGUUUCAGGAAUCUUGUGAUGUUAUUACAAUACUUGCAGAGACAUAAAAUAGACUUUUCUGGUGACUCUGCCUGUGGACAUUUAUAUCACGAUUCUGUUUCUUUAAAAAAUAAACAUCAGGCCCCCUGCAGGCAGACUGUAUUUGUCAGCAUGUUGUUAACCAUUGUAACUACCAUGCGUACCACACAGUCUUGUAACAGUCUGGCCCAGACUAAGGCACUUUCCAAAUAUUUGUUGGAUGAAUGAAUUUGAAAAAUGAAAACUGUAUUUUUAUACUUGGAAGAGAUCUUGGAGUGCCAUCCAAAUCAAUAGUUUGCAAAUUUUUAAAAAGAACCCUUUUUUGAAGUGAAACCUUUCACCAAAUUCCAGUAUGUGAAAUUGAUACGCGUAUAAUCACUGAGUAAACUUGGCCCCCCUCUCUCACCGGGAGCGACUCACCCCCUCCAGGAACCUCCUGCCCCCGGCCUCUAACCUGGAUCAACACCCUCACUUUCUCCUGACGAGGCAACAGAGUAGAACUGCCCGCUAGGGUUCCCAAGGAGCGGUUGGUAGAUUCGAACUGCUGACAUUUUGGUUAGCAGCGGAAAGCUUAACCACUGCGCCACCAGGACUCCAGCAGGAAGAAAGGACUUUUCAAGCCUGAGGGACCUGUGUGUCUUGAAUUCAUCUAUGGGAGUGAAGUGUUAGUCCAGAUAAGAAGGGUGUUUUCUCAAAACCUAAGUAUGAUUCUCAUGAAAGGAAACUACACAGAUAAUGUUGGUAUUUGAGGAAAUAUGUUAUUGAAAAGGUGUGAUCUGUAUUAAACAAAACAAAACAAAAAACCCUUUGUUAUCAGGUUGAUUCUGACUCAUAGCUACCCUACAGGACAGAGUAGAACUGCCCCGUAGGAUUUCCAAGGAAUGGCUGGUGGAUUCAAACUGCCAACCUUUUGGUUGACAGCUGAGCUCUUAACCACUGCACCACCAGGGCUGUGUGAUCUGUAUAGAGCCUUGAAAAUGAAGAAGUUAGCAGGUAGCUACCACUGUUCUGGCAGGGGUGAUCAUAUAUUUGGAAUAGUAACUCAUAAGGUCUUACUGUAACUUGAGGGCUGGAGAUCAGGACUGUCCCAGAAAAUCGAGGUGACUUGGCCUUGGUGCUUAUAUUACCAUUGUUUUAGAUGUUUGAGACUUGAGGCGUCUGUCUGCCACAGUGCUGUGCCUGGGUUUACCAAGCAGCUUUCUGGUAGGAACUUGGUUUCCCAGGGAGGUAUUGCCCCCUGUGUUUGUUUUUUCUCCAGGCUAUAGUUCUUGUUGGAGCUCAAUAAAAUGGCACCUGGUUUACCACGCAACUGUUCCUCAGGGCUGAGUCCUCUAAGGCGGGUUGAUAGGAUACAGUUCCUGUAAGAGCCGAGGUGCUGACAUUGUUUUCCUGCUCUUGCCGUCUCCCUGCAAGGCAGAUGAGCUGUCUGCUGACAUACUUUCUUGUUCUUUUCAUUAUAUUCUCCACCAGUUAGCAGUCUAGUUCUGGUGUUUCACCUACAGAUUGAGUUUACCAGAAACUUGAUAUCAUAAGAAAGAGCUCUGGUGCCCAUGUGCCUCUAUCUGUGGCAACCUUUGCCUCUUACCUGGGAGUCCAUAGCAAGUCCCUCUGCCCGCUCUUAACCUCUGAGCAAAGUGUUUUUUUGUAUUAGUUUGUCCUGGGUUUUGGUCAAGUUUCCUCAAUCAUGAAAUUCCUAAACAUCAUAGGGUUGUUGUGAGGAUUAAAUGAAAGGCUGAGUGAAGUACUGGGGCACAUAGUAGGCACUCAGGGUGUUAGCUCAUUACUGUUAUUGCUCUCUGGUCGUGAGCACUCAGACUCUGGGUACACCCAGGCGUUUACUGCGGGGUCACUGUGGCCAGGUUUCUCGCAGUUGAGAGUUACCAGAGAGGGAGGCUGAGGUCUGCGUGUAGAAGACUGAAGAUUGCUGGGCCUAGAUUUUCGCCUGGGUGUGGGGUGUGGAAGCCUGGGGAUUGUGCAGGUCAUUGGAGCUGAGGAACCAACUGGAGAUAGGGGUGAGGGGUGCUUCUGCUAUUUGCCUGUCUUUGUGCAAGUUGGAAACCCUGGUGGCUUAGUGGUUAAGUGCUGAGGCUGCUAACCAAAAGGCCGGCAGUUUGAAUCCACCAGGCACUCCUUGGAAACUCUAUGGGGCAGUUCUGCUCUGUCCCAUAGGGUUGGUAUGAGUUGGAAUCAACUCAACGGCAACAGGUUUGGUUUUAUUGGUUUUGUGCAAGUCACCGGGCUUGAGAAAGUACCUGUGGCUGUCUCCUGAAGGCCCUGAUGCUCUACUGUAAGCUCAUCACGGGGUAGGGAUCGAGAGAACAUUUCUUCAUUCUUCAGCUCUGCCUUCCCUGAUAUUUUAUUUUCCUGCUUUAAAACAGCAACUGUGUUGCAGAUCUUCUUAAACGUGUCAGCACACGGAACACUCAAAAUGACUGCAUGAUGUUAAUACUAGUUUACUAGUCAUUUGCUUUGACUUAUGAUCUCAGAUCAGGUGGGAUGAGUUUGGGCAGUAUACACAGUAAACAUUAAACGAUCACAACGUGUGUUAGAUUGUAUGACAAUGUGUGUGAUAGACCAGCGAUUGCCAAGAACACAUUCAGGAGACAGUGGACGAAUCUGCCCAUUGGCGAGUAAGCGAGCGAGCGAGCGAGCUGCAGGUCAGGCUUGGGGGCCGUGGAACUGAUGGACUUGGGGAUGACCUGCCAUUUUUUCUUUUAUUUCUCGUAUUAAAGAAUGACUUUUAAAAGACUUGCCAUGGAAAUUUUCACACAUACUCAGAAGGGUGGAGAAUGGUAUCAUUCUGGUCUUGUCCCAGCGCCAGUGGUGGUGUCAGGGAGGGUCUCCCUGAGGAAGUGACCAGGAGUGUGUGUAGCCCCAUGAGAAGGGGGAAAAGCGUGGGGAAGGACGAGAGGCGGGAAAGAGCACCACACAGGCAGGCAACUGAAAGAAGUGGUUAUGCAUGAAAUGCAAAAGGAGCUAUAUGGAUGUUUUGAGUAUGAUUUUCAU